GAUGAAGAACGUAGCGAAAUGCGAUAAGUAGUGUGAAUUGCAGAAUUCAGUGAAUCAUCGAAUCUUUGAACGCGCAUUGCGCCCCUUGGUAUUCCAUGGGGCAUGCCUGUUCGAGCGUCAUUUGUACCCUCAAGCUUUGCUUGGUGUUGGGUGUUUGUCCCGCGUUGCGCGUGGACUCGCCUUAAAGCGAUUGGCAGCCGGCAUAUUGGCCUUGGAGCGCAGCACAUUUUGCGCUUCUAGUCAUGAAUGUUGGCGUCCAUUAAGCCUAUACAUUUGCUCUUGACCUCGGAUCAGGUAGGGAUACCCGCUGAACUUAAGCAUAUCAAUAAGCGGAGGA
rnacentral:misc_RNA from 1 species